rnacentral:rRNA from 1 species
GAGUUUGAUCCUGGCUCAGGACGAACGCUGGCGGCGCGCUUAACACAUGCAAGUCGAACGGUGAACGGGGCUUCGGCCCCGGGAUCAGUGGCGAACGGGUGCGUAACACGUGGGCAACCUGCCCCUCACUCUGGGAUAACCCCGGGAAACCGGAGCUAAUACCGGAUACUCCGCGCGAGCCGCAUGGCUCGAACGGGAAAGGUCCGCCGGUGAGGGAUGGGCCCGCGGCCUAUCAGCUUGUUGGUGGGGUAACGGCCUACCAAGGCUUCGACGGGUAGCUGGUCUGAGAGGACGACCAGCCACACUGGGACUGAGAUACGGCCCAGACUCCUACGGGAGGCAGCAGUGGGGAAUCUUGCGCAAUGGGCGAAAGCCUGACGCAGCGACGCCGCGUGGGGGACGAAGGCCCUCGGGUUGUAAACCCCUUUCGGCAGGGACGAAGCGAUCGUGACGGUACCUGCAGAAGAAGCCUCGGCUAACUACGUGCCAGCAGCCGCGGUAAGACGUAGGAGGCGAGCGUUGUCCGGAUUCAUUGGGCGUAAAGGGUGCGUAGGUGGCGCGCUAAGUCAGGUGUGAAAUUUCGGAGCUUAACUCCGAAACUGCAUUUGAUACUGGCGUGCUUGAGGACUGGAGAGGAGACUGGAAUUCAUGGUGUAGCAGUGAAAUGCGUAGAGAUCAUGAGGAAGACCAGUGGCGAAGGCGGGUCUCUGGACAGUUCCUGACACUGAGGCACGAAGGCCAGGGGAGCAAACGGGAUUAGAUACCCCGGUAGUCCUGGCAGUAAACGGUGCACGUUUGGUGUGAGAGGAUUCGACCCCUUUCGCGCCGGAGCUAACGCGUUAAACGUGCCGCCUGGGGAGUACGGUCGCAAGAUUAAAACUCAAAGAAAUUGACGGGGGCCCGCACAAGCGGUGGAGUAUGUGGCUUAAUUCGAUGCAACGCGAAGAACCUUACCUGGCCUUGACAUGCAUUGCUAAGCUGGUGAAAGCCAGUGAGUGUCGAAAGACACACCUUGCACAGGUGCUGCAUGGCUGUCGUCAGCUCGUGUCGUGAGAUGUUGGGUUAAGUCCCGCAACGAGCGCAACCCCUGUGAACUGUUGCCACGUCCUUGAUUGGACAGCACUCUGUUCAGACUGCCCUGUGAAACGGGGAGGAAGGUGGGGACGACGUCAAGUCAGUAUGGCCCUUACGGCCAGGGCUGCACACGUACUACAAUGCCCAGUACAGAACGAUCCGAGACCGCGAGGUGGAGGAAAUCUAGUAAAAACUGGGCUCAGUUCGGAUUGGAGUCUGCAACUCGACUCCAUGAAGCCGGAAUCGCUAGUAAUGGCGCAUCAGCUACGGCGCCGUGAAUACGUUCCCGGGCCUUGUACACAC